GCGGGUGUAGCUCAGUUGGUUAGAGCGCCAGAUUGUGGCCCUGGAGGUCGUGGGUUCGAUUCCCUUCGCCCGCCCCA
rnacentral:tRNA from 1 species